GUACUUGUAACGAUAUCCAUUCUUGCGACAUGACGAGAUGCGCUUCUAUCCCUGACGAGGCCCUCGUGCCAAAUUGAGGAUAGGGUCGCAUCUUGGGCAUGACAGUGUGUCAACCCCUGAUGCAAACUGAUUAAACAAUGUGCCAACCCCUGAUGCAAACUUGGUGAUAACUGUGGUAGCUUUAAGCUUAUCCUGUGAGGAGAAAAAAUACAGAAAAAGCAUUAUUUUUAGAGCAAAAAAUACACAAAAAAAUACACAUACAUAUGAACUCAAAAAGCCCUUGCCGCAGAGAAAAAAUGCACAUCCAUAUACACAAAAAAAAUCUUACACUUUAGAGCAACUAGGAUGUAUAUUUUGCUUCAUCCAGGUUUCGAAGCCCCCAGGUCCCCCAAACAGAUCAAAUCUGUUGUGACUCUCCUUUCUAAAUUCUCC
rnacentral:lncRNA from 1 species